UACGUAGGGGGCUAGCGUUGUUCGGAAUUACUGGGCGUAAAGCGCAUGUAGGCGGCUUUGUAAGUUAGAGGUGAAAGCCCAGGGCUCAACCCUGGAAUUGCCUUUAAGACUGCAUCGCUUGAAUCAUGGAGAGGUGAGUGGAAUUCCGAGUGUAGAGGUGAAAUUCGUAGAUAUUCGGAAGAACACCAGUGGCGAAGGCGACUCACUGGACAUGUGUUGACGCUGAGGUGCGAAAGCGUGGGGAGCAAACAGG
rnacentral:rRNA from 1 species